rnacentral:rRNA from 1 species
UACAGAGGUCACAAGCGUUAUCCGGAUUUAUUGGGCGUAAAGCGUUUCGUAGGUGAUUUGUUAAGUUGCUCUUCAAAUACCAAGGCUCAACCUUGGGAAGGGGAGUAAGACUGGCAGAAUUGAAUAGUGGUGGGGUUUCUGGAACUGGUGGUGUAGUAGUGAAAUACGUUGAUAUCAUCAGGAACUCCAAGGGCGAAGGCAGGAAACUAACCAUUUAUUGACACUGAGGAACGACAGCUAGGGUAGCGAAAGGG